UCUGGUUGAUCCUGCCAGUAGUCAUAUGCUUGUCUCAAAGAUUAAGCCAUGCAUGUCUAAGUAUAAAUAGUAUACAGUGAAACUGCGAAUGGCUCAUUAAAACAGUUAUAGUUUAUUUGAUAAUGGAAAGCUACAUGGAUAACCGUGGUAAUUCUAGAGCUAAUCAAACCUGACUUUCCGGAAAGGUUGUAUUUAUUAGAUAUGAAGCCAAUAUUCCCGCAAGGGUCUAUUGUGGUGAGUCACAGUAACUGAUCGAAUCCCUUCACGGGAUAAAUCAUUCAAGUUUCUGCCCUAUCAGCUUUCGAUGGUAGUGUAUUGGACUACCAUGGCAGUUACGGGUAACGGAGAAUUAGGGUUCGGUUCCGGAGAGGGAGCCUGAGAAACGGCUACCACAUCUAAGGAAGGCAGCAGGCGCGUAAAUUACCCAAUCCUGAUUCAGGGAGGUAGUGACAAGAAAUAACGGACUGAGGCCUAUCUUACGGGAUUGCAAUGAGAACAAUCCAAAUCACUUAACGAGGAACAAUUGGAGGGCAAGUCUGGUGCCAGCAGCCGCGGUAAUUCCAGCUCCAAUAGCGUAUAUUAAAGUUGUUGCAGUUAAAAAGCUCGUAGUUGAAGUUCUUUCCAUUUCUAAGCCCUCGGUCGGGCUAGGAGUGGUCAUCCGUCUAUGAACUGCGUUCGGCCUUCAUUGGUUCGGCGUAGCUAGUAGACAAUUUACUUUGAAAAAAUUAGAGUGUUUCAGGCAGGCAAUCGCCCGAAUACAUUAGCAUGGAAUAAUGGAAUAGGACUUUGGUCUAUUUUAUUGGUUAUUAGGCCAGAGUAAUGAUAAAUAGGGACAGUUGGGGGCAUUAGUAUUUAAUUGUCAGAGGUGAAAUUCUUGGAUUUAUUAAAGACUAACUAAUGCGAAAGCAUUUGCCAAGGAUGUUUUCAUUAAUCAAGAACGAAAGUUAGGGGAUCAAAGACGAUCAGAUACCGUCCUAGUCUUAACUAUAAACUAUACCGACUCGGGAUUGGCUGGCCUUAACCUCAGUCAGGACCGUAUGAGAAAUCAAAGUCUUUGGGUUCUGGGGGGAGUAUGGUCGCAAGGCUGAAACUUAAAGGAAUUGACGGAAGGGCACCACCAGGAGUGGAGCCUGCGGCUUAAUUUGACUUAAUAUGGGGAAAUUUACCAGGUCAAAACAUGGGUGGGAUUGACAGAUUGAGAGCUCUUUCUUGAUUCUAUGGGUGGUGGUGCAUGGCCGUUCUUAGUUGGUGGAGUGAUUUGUCUGGUUAAUUCCGUUAACGAACGAGACCUUAACCUGCUAACUAGUUUAUAUUCUCACAGAGUAUAAUACUUCUUAGAGGGACUAUAUAUGUUAAGUAUAUGGAAGUUUGAGGCAAUAACAGGUCUGUGAUGCCCUUAGAUGUCCUGGGCCGCACGCGCGCUACAAUGACACGCUCAGCAAGUUCUAUCCUGGCUCGGAAAAAUUUGGGUAAUCUUUAUAGGACAUGUCGUGUUAGGGAUCGAUCUUUGGAAUUAUAGAUCUUGAACGAGGAAUUCCUAGUAAGUGCAAGUCAUCAGCUUGUACUGAUUACGUCCCUGCCCCUUGUACACACCGCCCGUCGCUGCUACCGAUUUCGAGUGGUCCGGUGAACCUCAUAGACUUGUUUGGCAACAGAUGAGAAAGUGAAGUAAACCUUAUCACUUAGAGGAAGCAGAAGUCGUAACAAGGUUUCCGUAGGUGAACCUGCAGA
rnacentral:rRNA from 1 species